UCCAGUUACACCUAUUGGGUACAAUACAAUAAAUAACGUAUACCUGUAAUAAUUAAAACAUUUCAAUUUUGAAUACUGAAAAAUAGAUAUUAUUUAUUAUAUAAAAAAUCUAUGAAGUGAUUAAAUUACAUACCUUAGCCAUGUGAGAAAAUAAGGAACAAAUUCAUUGAGAUUCAUAUAGUAAAACAAAUAUCGAAUUAUUUCUGUUAUUGACCAUGCUAAGAUGGCUAAUGGAAGACCAUAAGAUGACGCCGCAUAAUUAUUUGGAGUUGCCAACAAUACACCACUCACUACUAUAAUACGACUAAACA